UACGUAGGGGUGCGAGCGUUGUCCGGAUUUAUUGGGCGUAAAGAGCUUGUAGCGGCUCGUCACGUCGGGUGUGAAAACUCGGGGCUUAACCCCGAGCCUGCAGUGGAUACGGGCAGACUAGAGGUAGGUAGGGGAGAAUGGAAUUCCCGGUGUAGCGGUGAAAUGCGCAGAUAUCGGGAGGAACACCGGUGGCGAAGGCGGUUCUCUGGGCCUUACCUGACGCUGAGGAGCGAAAGCGUGGGGAGCGAACAGG
rnacentral:rRNA from 1 species